GCCUUUAAUCUUGAUUCAUGUAUCUGCAUUGUUAUGCAUGUAGUUAGGUGUUCUGUGGUCAGUUGUAUGCCGGCGAGAUGUACGUGUGAUACGUACAAAGCUGGCGAGUCGUCGGCACGAGAUUGUGCAUGGCGGCGUACAUGCGAGAUGCCGAGUGCUGUGUGAAGCAGCUGCACAAGACCUGAAGCCAACGGGCUGCAUGAGACUUAGCAGAAGAAUAGGUCAUGGGGUUAGCUGGUGGAUGCAUGGAUUAGUUAGUUGGUUAGUUCGGCCGGGUCGUAUGCAUGCUGGAGGGAUUCCAGGAAGUGGAGUACGUGUGUUAGUGGUUAGUGGUGUGAGUUAUCCAUCUUGUAUAUAUAUGCUACGCUGAGUAAUGAGAAAAGCAGCCGUGAGGGCAGCAGCCACAAUGUAGCCUAUCGUGUGACCAAGAAGAAAGAGCUCUUGGCAAAGCUGGGUGUGUUUCUUCC